CAUGGAGGAUCUCUGAGACGAUCAGGCUUAACGAUGGAACAAUUUCAAGGACAAGGCCUCGUGUACAGUAUCGAGCACGAGUGUCAUGAUCUCCUGUUACAAUCACUUGGUUAUUCGUCGUUAUAUCCUCCGUCUUUGAAGUAUUAAGAACUGUUCUCCCAACCCUUUUCCAUGGGGAGUCCCAGGAACGACUGCAGGUAAUCUCGCUGCAAUUCUUCAGAAUGGUUCUUCUCCUUGAGCUGCUGCUGCUGUUGGUAGUGACUCUAUUGUCUGACAUGUGCAGUGAGUUUGGAAGUGGAUAGAAGAGCUUUGCUUGUAGCUGUCAUGGAGGAGAGAUUCUUGAAAGAAGCUAGGUCUGUUGGUGUUUGAUGCUAAUGCACUUUGGGGAGCAUCUUUGUAAAGCAGUGUUUGUGAUGCUGCCCAAUGCAUGAGCAUGAUAUAUACAAAACGAAGGCAUGAGAAGGUGCAGGGUGGGGAAACAAGGGAGAUUGUAUACUGUU
rnacentral:lncRNA from 1 species